UAGGGAAUCUUCGGCAAUGGGGGCAACCCUGACCGAGCAACGCCGCGUGAGUGAAGAAGGUUUUCGGAUCGUAAAGCUCUGUUGUAAGUCAAGAACGAGUGUGAGAGUGGAAAGUUCACACUGUGACGGUAGCUUACCAGAAAGGGACGGCUAACUACGUGCCAGCAGCCGCGGUAAUACGUAGGUCCCGAGCGUUGUCCGGAUUUAUUGGGCGUAAAGCGAGCGCAGGCGGUUUGAUAAGUCUGAAGCUAAAGGCUGUGGCUCAACCAUAGUUCGCUUUGGAAACUGUCAAACUUGAGUGCAGAAGGGGAGAGUGGAAUUCCAGGUGUAGCGGUGAAAUGCGUAGAUAUAUGGAGGAACACCGGUGGCGAAAGCGGCUCUCUGGUCUGUAACUGACGCUGAGGCUCGAAAGCGUGGGGAGCGAACAGGAUUAGAUACCCUGGUAGUCCACGCCGUAAACGAUGAGUGCUAGGUGUUGGAUCCUUUCCGGGAUUCAGUGCCGCAGCUAACGCAUUAAGCACUCCGCCUGGGGAGUACGACCGCAAGGUU
rnacentral:rRNA from 1 species